AGUGAACGCUGGCGGUAGGCCUAACACAUGCAAGUCGAACGGCAGCACAGGAGAGCUUGCUCUCUGGGUGGCGAGUGGCGGACGGGUGAGGAAUACAUCGGAAUCUACUCUGUCGUGGGGGAUAACGUAGGGAAACUUACGCUAAUACCGCAUACGACCUACGGGUGAAAGCAGGGGAUCUUCGUACCUUGCGCGAUUGAAUGAGCCGAUGUCGGAUUAGCUAGUUGGCGGGGUAAAGGCCCACCAAGGCGACGAUCCGUAGCUGGUCUGAGAGGAUGAUCAGCCACACUGGAACUGAGACACGGUCCAGACUCCUACGGGAGGCAGCAGUGGGGAAUAUUGGACAAUGGGCGCAAGCCUGAUCCAGCCAUACCGCGUGGGUGAAGAAGGCCUUCGGGUUGUAAAGCCCUUUUGUUGGGAAAGAAAUCCAGCUGGUUAAUACCCGGUUGGGAUGACGGUACCCAAAGAAUAAGCACCGGCUAACUUCGUGCCAGCAGCCGCCGUAA
rnacentral:rRNA from 1 species